rnacentral:rRNA from 1 species
CGAAAGCCUGACGGAGCAAGACCGCGUGGGGGAGGAAAGCCUUUGGGUUGUAAACCCCUUUUCUCAGGGAAGAAGAAAGUGACGGUACCUGAGGAAUCAGCCUCGGCUAACUCCGUGCCAGCAGCCGCGGUAAUACGGAGGAGGCAAGCGUUAUCCGGAUUUAUUGGGCGUAAAGCGUCCGCAGGUGGCAGUUCAAGUCUGCUGUCAAAGACAGUGGCUCAACCACUGAAAGGCAUUAGAUACUGAACAGCUAGAGUGCGGUAGGGGCAGAGGGAAUUCCAGGUGUAGCGGUGAAAUGCGUAGAUUUCUGGAAGAACAUCGGUGGCGAAAGCGCUCUGCUAGGCCGCAACUGACACUCAGGGACGAAAGCUAGGGGAGCG